CCUACGGGAGGCAGCAGUGAGGAAUUUUCCGCAAUGGGCGAAAGCCUGACGGAGCAAUACCGCGUGAGGGAUGAAGGAUUUUGGUCUGUAAACCUCUUUUCUCAAGAAAGAAGUUCUGACGGUACUUGAGGAAUAAGCAUCGGCUAACUCCGUGCCAGCAGCCGCGGUAAUACGGGGGAUGCAAGCGUUAUCCGGAAUGAUUGGGCGUAAAGCGCCUGUAGGUUGUUUAUUAAGUCCGUUGUUAAAGCCUAGGGCUCAACCCUAGAAAAGCAAUGGAAACUAGUAGACUAGAGUAUGGCAGGGGUAGAGGGAAUUUCUAGUGUAGCGGUGAAAUGCGUAGAUAUUAGAAAGAACACCGGUGGCGAAAGCGCUCUACUGGACCAUUACUGACACUCAGAGGCGAAAGCUAGGGUAGCAAAAGGGAUUAGAUACCCCUGUAGUCCUAGCCGUAAACGAUGGAUACUAGAUGUUGUGCAUUAUGUACAGUAUCGUAGCUAACGCGUUAAGUAUCCCGCCUGGGGGUAGGUACGUCGUCGCGAGGUAGGUAACGUACAAUAGUAAGUUAGUACGGCGUGAGACGUGCCGAACGGACGACCGACGAGGGAGGUAGG
rnacentral:rRNA from 1 species